GGUUGGCGUUCCCGUAAAAUGCCGGCGAUCCAUGAGUCUCAGGAGUCUGCAGAAUGACAUAGGGAAGAGAUCUGGGUCCAUUCCUGCGUCAUUUGGAAGCUGGGAGAGGAGAGGGAUGCUGAGAUGGAGGGAGAUAAGAAUGGAAGGACGGAAGAGAGAGGGAAGAAAGGUAUGUGGCUCGGCAAACUUGAAAGUGGUGGCGUCGCGGCGUGUUGGUUGGGGUCACUCGUGUUGGACAGGUACCUCAGCCACUCUUAAUUAUUACACGCACACCUGUGAACACCUAGACGCUAUCACUGAGCUCCACGAGGCCGCCAAGGAGUUUAAUUCUAUUUGUUUGGCAUAAAACCCAAGCGAGGAGAACAGUGCGUGGUGUAACAGCCUGCCGUGGCCAGUCGUUCAUUGCACAGAAGCUCAGGGCGCGGCGGGGUCAAUAGGAAGCACAACCAAUGCCGCGGACUCUAGGCGGGAGAGCCGAAAAUACACGCCCUUCAUCAAGCAGCCCAAGACUCUACCACCGGACCACAGUGCUACCCCCCUUCUCUUUAUUUUAGCGUUACUGCGAGAAAACAGAAAUAAAAGUUCGAAGAAGAAAGUUUAAAGUUUAUUCACAUGUAUAACAGCACCAUCAACAACCACAGCAAUAACAAGCAGUGCAGCCAACUCUUCUUCCUUUUAAA